AUACCGUGAUAAGGACAUUUUCUCGACAACUCCUUAAAACAUUCCCAAGAGACAUAUAAAGAUUCCCCAUCUAACUGAUAGAAGUUAUUAAGCUCUCCCAUCAAUUU